rnacentral:piRNA from 1 species
GUUGUUCUUUAGCACUUGAUGUGUGCUUCC